rnacentral:rRNA from 1 species
UACGAAGGGGGCUAGCGUUGCUCGGAAUCACUGGGCGUAAAGGGUGCGUAGGCGGGUCUUUAAGUCAGGGGUGAAAUCCUGGAGCUCAACUCCAGAACUGCCUUUGAUACUGAGGAUCUUGAGUUCGGGAGAGGUGAGUGGAACUGCGAGUGUAGAGGUGAAAUUCGUAGAUAUUCGCAAGAACACCAGUGGCGAAGGCGGCUCACUGGCCCGAUACUGACGCUGUGGCACGAAAGCGUGGGGAGCAAACAGG